CGGGGAGAUCAUUUAAAAUAUUAGUAAGAAUAGUUUUAGCAUGAUCAGUAGUAAUAUGCAUAAAUGCUCCUCCCGAGGCUAAAUUAAGGUAUUCUUGAUUUUUAUCAUUAAGGCCUAAAAAUAAAUGUUGUAAAAGCAUGGGUUCUGGUAAAGCAAGAUUAGGCCUAGAAUACAAAGCCAUCAAAACAAUCCCAAGCCUUGCCUAGCGAUUCAUUGUCUAAUUGUUUGAAUCCUAUAAUUUCAAAUUGAAGUUUAGCGACUUUUCUACAAGGAAGAAUUUAAGGCAAAAUUCUUUUCGUAAUAUAUCCCAGUCUCCUUGACUAUUCCCAACAUGGCGAUUAUACCAUUUCUUAGCUCGACCCGUUAAUGAAAAUGUAAAGAGUUUCCAUCUUAAAGUUUCAUCGGCCAUGCCCUUAAUACUUAGACAUGAACACGUCUGCUCAAAAUUAGCUAAAUGGGAAUAGGGGUUUUCGCUACAAUUACCAGAAAAUAUGUUGUUGAACUAAUUUGAUUAGUCCCGGGCGUAGCUCAUUGCCAGAUGACAUGAUAGGUUUAGAAGAUUCUUUUAGCUGGAGGUACAAUCCCGAUGGUGCUCCAUAUUGAUAUAAAAGUUGAGAUUCAAUUUCCAUAUAUAUAUAUAUAUUUUAUUUUUCUAUUUUUAUUUUUUUUAUUUUUUUAAAGGAUAACUAUAGAUUAAGGUAGACUAAUGUCAAAAAUCAGCAAACCAUUCCCCGGCAAUGGCGCCAGAAAUGUUUGUUGGUAUAAAUUAACUGCACCCUAAUAAUGAUUAUAAUCAGAUUAUCCGCAAGCGGACAACUAUAUACUGAUCAACACUUCACCAAGAUCAACCCGAUUUUAAUAUUAAACCCAAAGGACAGUAUGUGAUUUAUGAACUAGCCUAUAAUUCUUAAUCUAAGGGGGCACAAUCAAUCUAGAAACUAUUGAUGAUGAGGAAAUACUAAUGUAGUGUGGUUCCAAUACCCGGUAAACUUUGUAUAGUAUCGUCUUAUUGGGCAAGUAACCCGAAGAGGGGAAGGAUCAGAGUAAUCCCCUAUCAGGCAGCUCUAAGCCUAUCAAUCCUAUCAAUGGGAAGUGGACUAUACAUGAAUCAACGCAACUAUAAAGUCACCUAUGCGAACUACCAAUGUCCGGCUAAUCAGGGGACAUUCACAAGUAACCAUAGCCCAAACACCAAAUCUACGUUACGAAUCACUACUCCGACCUAGGAGCUACCUAAAUCGUAGUACUCAAUAUAAUAUGAGUAGCAAACCAAAGAAUGAAUACAAACAAUUUGCUUACUUGAAUCAGAAGGGUAAAUACAAAAGUACCUUAGAAUGUGGUUCUGGGUGAGGGAGCCAAAUCUAGACGAAUACAGCUCCUAAGGAAGCUCCGACAGGCCAGGACAACUUCGAAUCUCUACUCCUCUACUCUAUCUCUCUAGUCUCUAUAUUGAUUGCUAGCAUAUAUCUAGUGGAUCCCUAUCUAAUGCUCUGGCUCAUCAUCUCUUGAUCUUGCCUCCAGGGGGGGUCUGGCCUUCUAUUUAUAGCCUGGUGGGUGGACACGCGCCGUUAGAUCAAACCAACUUAACAUGCGGCCAAGAUGCCUCCUCAGAGGUGGUGGAGGAAGCUUCUAAAAGGGGGGAGCAAAACCAAACCAGAGGGGGCCGGCCCCACCAAGCGGCUGGUGGCUCUCCCUCGCGUCGGGUCUCUUCUAUUGUGGCAGAACCCCCUAAGUAUUUGGGCCCACCGGCACCUGUCAUUGUCCUAAGGACCUCUGACGGCGAUGCCGAGGAUCCUCCCACUUUAGAAGUGUUGAUGCAAAACUGGUCUGCAAACACAAAGGGCUAAUACCCAAUUCAAACGUUAAGGCGUGCCAGCCGAUUUGACCUUGCUAUCGGCAAAGGUGAUAACUCGAAUACUUUAGUCCUGACAACAGCGAUGCGCCCGGAUGUCACGGCUAAGAGGUACUCACGCGGAACUUGAGAACACGCCGAGCUUAAGUCGACGAAUUCCUAAGAACUCGUAACAAAAGGAAAAAGUAUGACGAAGUCGUCGAAAAGUAAAUGCUGGAAU
rnacentral:lncRNA from 1 species